rnacentral:rRNA from 1 species
AAUUGAAGAGUUUGAUCAUGGCUCAGAUUGAACGCUGGCGGCAGGCCUAACACAUGCAAGUCGAACGGUAACAGGAAGCAGCUUGCUGCUUUGCUGACGAGUGGCGGACGGGUGAGUAAUGUCUGGGAAACUGCCUGAUGGAGGGGGAUAACUACUGGAAACGGUAGCUAAUACCGCAUAACGUCGCAAGACCAAAGAGGGGGACCUUAGGGCCUCUUGCCAUCGGAUGUGCCAGAUGGGAUUAGCUAGUAGGUGGGGUAACGGCUCACCUAGGCGACGAUCCCUAGCUGGUCUGAGAGGAUGACCAGCCACACUGGAACUGAGACACGGUCCAGACUCCUACGGGAGGCAGCAGUGGGGAAUAUUGCACAAUGGGCGCAAGCCUGAUGCAGCCAUGCCGCGUGUAUGAAGAAGGCCUUCGGGUUGUAAAGUACUUUCAGCGGGGAGGAAGGGAGUAAAGUUAAUACCUUUGCUCAUUGACGUUACCCGCAGAAGAAGCACCGGCUAACUCCGUGCCAGCAGCCGCGGUAAUACGGAGGGUGCAAGCGUUAAUCGGAAUUACUGGGCGUAAAGCGCACGCAGGCGGUUUGUUAAGUCAGAUGUGAAAUCCCCGGGCUCAACCUGGGAACUGCAUCUGAUACUGGCAAGCUUGAGUCUCGUAGAGGGGGGUAGAAUUCCAGGUGUAGCGGUGAAAUGCGUAGAGAUCUGGAGGAAUACCGGUGGCGAAGGCGGCCCCCUGGACGAAGACUGACGCUCAGGUGCGAAAGCGUGGGGAGCAAACAGGAUUAGAUACCCUGGUAGUCCACGCCGUAAACGAUGUCGACUUGGAGGUUGUGCCCUUGAGGCGUGGCUUCCGGAGCUAACGCGUUAAGUCGACCGCCUGGGGAGUACGGCCGCAAGGUUAAAACUCAAAUGAAUUGACGGGGGCCCGCACAAGCGGUGGAGCAUGUGGUUUAAUUCGAUGCAACGCGAAGAACCUUACCUGGUCUUGACAUCCACGGAAGUUUUCAGAGAUGAGAAUGUGCCUUCGGGAACCGUGAGACAGGUGCUGCAUGGCUGUCGUCAGCUCGUGUUGUGAAAUGUUGGGUUAAGUCCCGCAACGAGCGCAACCCUUAUCCUUUGUUGCCAGCGGUCCGGCCGGGAACUCAAAGGAGACUGCCAGUGAUAAACUGGAGGAAGGUGGGGAUGACGUCAAGUCAUCAUGGCCCUUACGACCAGGGCUACACACGUGCUACAAUGGCGCAUACAAAGAGAAGCGACCUCGCGAGAGCAAGCGGACCUCAUAAAGUGCGUCGUAGUCCGGAUUGGAGUCUGCAACUCGACUCCAUGAAGUCGGAAUCGCUAGUAAUCGUGGAUCAGAAUGCCACGGUGAAUACGUUCCCGGGCCUUGUACACACCGCCCGUCACACCAUGGGAGUGGGUUGCAAAAGAAGUAGGUAGCUUAACCUUCGGGAGGGCGCUUACCACUUUGUGAUUCAUGACUGGGGUGAAGUCGUAACAAGGUAACCGUAGGGGAACCUGCGGUUGGAUCACCUCCUUA